GGAGUGCUGUUACCCGUCACCCUACUCUGCUGUGACCACAUGGGCCUUGCUAAAGAAAAGCUUGCAAAACUGCAAAUCCAAAUCUAAGCUAAUGGACAUGUUCAGCAGUCCCGAAGAUGAAGAUUCAUGAGUGUGCAAUUCAGAUCACAGCACCAUGCAGAGCACCCAGAGCAUUCAGCUGUAUCUUCAGGCUCCUUGCAGGGAGCAGACAGCAGGAAAUGAAAACCGUGACCAGAAGUGUAUUCCCCUUGUCUAAACACUGGCAUGCUGGUGUUUAGAAGAAAGGGCUCCACCAUGAUUCUUCCCAACUGCCUGCAGAGUGAAAUGAGAGCUUCAGCCAGGGAGAAAAAUGAGCUUGUUCCUGGGUGAAAAUGCA